rnacentral:rRNA from 1 species
GACGAACGCUGGCGGCGUGCUUAACACAUGCAAGUCGAACGAAGAGCGAUGGAAGCUUGCUUCUAUCAAUCUUAGUGGCGAACGGGUGAGUAACGCGUAAUCAACCUGCCCUUCAGAGGGGGACAACAGUUGGAAACGACUGCUAAUACCGCAUACGAUCCAAUCUCGGCAUCGAGACUGGAUGAAAGGUGGCCUCUAUUUAUAAGCUAUCACUGAAGGAGGGGAUUGCGUCUGAUUAGCUAGUUGGAGGGGUAACGGCCCACCAAGGCGAUGAUCAGUAGCCGGUCUGAGAGGAUGAACGGCCACAUUGGGACUGAGACACGGCCCAGACUCCUACGGGAGGCAGCAGUGGGGAAUCUUCCGCAAUGGACGAAAGUCUGACGGAGCAACGCCGCGUGAGUGAUGACGGCCUUCGGGUUGUAAAGCUCUGUUAAUCGGGACGAAUGGUUCUUGUGCGAAUAGUGCGAGGAUUUGACGGUACCG